rnacentral:rRNA from 1 species
UGGGGAAUAUUGGACAAUGGGCGGAAGCCUGAUCCAGCAACGCCGCGUGAGGGAUGACGGCCUUCGGGUUGUAAACCUCUUUCAGUACCGACGAAGCGAAAGUGACGGUAGGUACAGAAGAAGGACCGGCCAACUACGUGCCAGCAGCCGCGGUAAUACGUAGGGUCCGAGCGUUGUCCGGAAUUAUUGGGCGUAAAGGGCUCGUAGGCGGUUUGUCGCGUCGGGAGUGAAAACAGCGGGCUUAACUCGUUGCUUGCUUUCGAUACGGGCAGACUAGAGGUAUGCAGGGGAGAAUGGAAUUCCUGGUGUAGCGGUGAAAUGCGCAGAUAUCAGGAGGAACACCGGUGGCGAAGGCGGUUCUCUGGGCAUUACCUGACGCUGAGGAGCGAAAGUGUGGGGAGCGAACAGGAUUAGAUACCCUGGUAGUCCACACCGUAAACGUUGGGCGCUAGGUGUGGGGUCCUUUCCACGGAUUCCGUGCCGUAGCUAACGCAUU